rnacentral:rRNA from 1 species
AUUGAACGCUGGCGGCAGACCUAACACCUGCAAGUCGAGCGGUUGAGGUAGCUUGCUACCGCUGCAGCGGCGGACGGUUGCGUAAUACAUGGGAAUCUGCCUGGUAGUGGGGACAACGUUUCGAAAGGAACGCUAAUACCUCAUACGCCCUCCGGGGGAAAGGGGAGGAUCUUCGGACCUCUCGCUACCAGAUGAGCCCAUGUCGGAUUAGCUUGUUGGUGAGGGAAAGGCUCACCGAGGCGACGAUCCGUAACUGGUCUGAGAGGAUGAUCAGUCACACUCGAACUGAGACACGGUGCAGUCGACGACGGGAGGGAGUAGUGGGGAAUAUUGGACAAUGGGCGCAAGCUUGAGCCAGCGUUGCCGCGGGUGUGAAGAAGGCCUGAGGGUUGUAAAUCACUUGCAGUGGGGAGAAAGGUCAUUCACCUAAUACGUGAGUGAAUUGAUGUUACCCACAGAAGAAGCACCGGUUAACUCCGUGCCAGCCGCCGCGGUAA